CUUAGUUACCAGCACGUUAUGGUGGGCACUCUAAGGAGACUGCCGGUGACAAACCGGAGGAAGGUGGGGAUGACGUCAAGUCAUCAUGGCCCUUACGGCCUGGGCUACACACGUGCUACAAUGGUCGGUACAAAGGGUUGCCAAGCCGCGAGGUGGAGCUAAUCCCAUAAAACCGAUCGUAGUCCGGAUCGCAGUCUGCAACUCGACUGCGUGAGGUCGGAAUCGCUAGUAAUCGUGAAUCAGAAUGUCACGGUGAAUACGUUCCCGGGCCUU
rnacentral:rRNA from 1 species